rnacentral:rRNA from 1 species
GAUGAACGCUGGCGGCGUGCUUAACACAUGCAAGUCGAACGGAAAGGCUCCUGCUUGCCGGGGUACUCGAGUGGCGAACGGGUGAGUAACACGUGGGUGAUCUGCCCUGCACUUCGGGAUAAGCCUGGGAAACUGGGUCUAAUACCGGAUAGGACCACAUUUUGGAUGGUGUGGUGGAAAGUUUUUCGGUGUGGGAUGAGCUCGCGGCCUAUCAGCUUGUUGGUGGGGUAAUGGCCUACCAAGGCGUCGACGGGUAGCCGGCCUGAGAGGGUGUACGGCCACAUUGGGACUGAGAUACGGCCCAGACUCCUACGGGAGGCAGCAGUGGGGAAUAUUGCACAAUGGGCGCAAGCCUGAUGCAGCGACGCCGCGUGGGGGAUGACGGCCUUCGGGUUGUAAACUCCUUUCGCUAGGGACGAAGCGCGAGUGACGGUACCUGGAGAAGAAGCACCGGCUAACUACGUG